rnacentral:rRNA from 1 species
ACAAGUGGAGCAGAAACGAAAGUUGGACUUAGUGAUCCGGUGGUUCCGAGUGGAAGGGCCAUCGCUCAACGGAUAAAAGCUACCCCGGGGAUAACAGGCUUAUCUCCCCCAAGAGUCCACAUCGACGGGGAGGUUUGGCACCUCGAUGUCGGCUCGUCUCAUCCUGGGGCUGGAGUAGGUCCCAAGGGUUGGGCUGUUCGCCCAUUAAAGAGGCACGCGAGCUGGGUUCAGAACGUCGUGAGACAGUUCGGUCCCUAUCCGUCGUGGGCGUAGGAAAUUUGAGAGGAGCUGUCCUUAGUACGAGAGGACCGGGAUGGACAGACCGCUGGUGUAUCAGUUGUCAUGCCAAUGGCACGGCUGAGUAGCUAAGUCUGGAAGGGAUAAGUGCUGAAGGCAUCUAAGCACGAAGCCCCCCUCAAGAUAAGAUUUCCCACUUUUAAAGAUAAGACUCCAAGAAGACCACUUGGUAGAUAGGUCUCAGGUGUAAGAGUAGUAAUACUUUAAGCUAAGAGAUACUAAUAAGUCGAGGACUUGACCUU